AUCCAAACAGAGACGAGAGAGAAAAAAGAGAACGCGAUCCGCUUCGGACUUCCCUUUUUCGCGCCUUUUCUCGCGCCCUAAUCUGCACUCUCAUUUGCGAUUUUUCUUCCUGAUGAUUUGAUGGAACUGGAAGAUCAUUUGACGAUAAACGGAUCAUAGACAGCGCGCGGACCUUCGAUCUUAGGAUCAGGAUCAGGCUCGUAGCUUUUGCUGUGUGAUAGGUUCUCGACAGAAAUUUCAAUGGCGGUAUUCUUAGCGUGUUCGAAUUUCUAUAUGUUUUCGAUACAAUGAAAUGCGGUCUGGUGCUCGUACCUGCUAAUAUUUUACGUAUCGCGCGUUCUAAUGGUAAGUCAGCUUUUAUAUUAGAACCGGAUGAAGAAGAAAACAAUCAUCUAAUCUAACUUUUUUGAUAAUUAAAUAAGAUCUCUAUUAAAGGAUUUCUCGCGACUGACUCUGAUAGCUGAUUCAAGACGAUGAUUAUUUCAUAAUUGGCGUCGUUCUCCGCUGAUAAACGAGUUAUGCUUACCGUUUAGUUUCCAGAUUAAGCGAUACAUUGCAUGCCGAGGUGGUUUUCCCGUACAGUUUGAAGAACUUGUCUAUUUUCAUUGAUAGGAUGCUAUUUCUGUUAAGAUGCUACUCUGGUUCAAAUUAUAAUCUUCCAACCGAAAACUGAUUAGCUUUGAUUUCGAACUUUGUGUAAGAAAUAGUGUCGAAGGAAAGUAAAGGUUAUCUACUAGCACACCUUGAGCUGAAUGUGUCCUUUCCACAGACAAUUGAAUUUGAGAUGUCUCCUGUUUCAGAAAGGUAACGAAGCAUGUUUUAGAUGUAAAAUGACCGUUUACUAACAUCCAAUACGCGAUGUCUGUUCAUUGAAUUGCCAUUUCCACACAUGGAUCAAUUGAGUUUCUACUUCUGUCAUUUAUUUGAUUUUCAAUUGUUCUGCGACUCCUUGUAGUUAAUCAUGUCUGUAGUUAUAUUGUAUCCAUUAUGUAUCUAAUUCUAUCAUACCUGGUUGUAAACUAACAAUGCAAGGAAGCUAUAC